UGGGGAAUUUUGGACAAUGGGCGCAAGCCUGAUCCAGCCAUGCCGCGUGCGGGAAGAAGGCCUUCGGGUUGUAAACCGCUUUUGUCAGGGAAGAAAUCUUCUGAGUUAAUACCUCGGGAGGAUGACGGUACCUGAAGAAUAAGCACCGGCUAACUACGUGCCAGCAGCCGCGGUAAUACGUAGGGUGCAAGCGUUAAUCGGAAUUACUGGGCGUAAAGCGUGCGCAGGCGGUUUUGUAAGACAGAGGUGAAAUCCCCGGGCUCAACCUGGGAACUGCCUUUGUGACUGCAAGGCUUGAGUGCGGCAGAGGGGGAUGGAAUUCCGCGUGUAGCAGUGAAAUGCGUAGAUAUGCGGAGGAACACCGAUGGCGAAGGCAAUCCCCUGGGCCUGCACUGACGCUCAUGCACGAAAGCGUGGGGAGCAAACAGGAUUAGAUAGCCCUGGUAGUCCACGCCCUAAACGAUGUCAACUGGUUGUUGGGAAGGUUCCUUCUCAGUAACGUAGCUAACGCGUGAAGUUGACCGCCUGGGGAGUACGGCCGCAAGGUUGAAACUCAAAGGAAUUGACGGGGUCAUAGCUGUUU
rnacentral:rRNA from 1 species